rnacentral:rRNA from 1 species
CGGAAGCCUGAUCCAGCCAUGCCGCGUGAGUGAAGAAGGCCUUCGGGUUGUAAAGCUCUUUCGGUCCGGGAAGAAAUACGCAUGGGUCAAUACCCUGUGUGGAUGACGGUACCGGAAUAAGAAGCACCGGCUAACUACGUGCCAGCAGCCGCGGUAAUACGUAGGGUGCGAGCGUUAAUCGGAAUUACUGGGCGUAAAGCGUGCGCAGGCGGUUUGGUAAGUCAGAUGUGAAAUCCCCGGGCUCAACCUGGGAACUGCAUUUGAGACUGCCAAGCUGGAGUUUGGCAGAGGGGGGUGGAAUUCCACGUGUAGCAGUGAAAUGCGUAGAGAUGUGGAGGAACACCGAUGGCGAAGGCAGCCCCCUGGGCCAAUACUGACGCUCAUGCACGAAAGCGUGGGGAGCAAACAGGAUUAGAUACCCUGGUAGUCCACGCCCUAAACGAUGUCAACUAGGUGUUGGGAGGGUUAAACCUUUUGUGCCGUAGCUAACGCGUGAAGUUGACCGCCUGGGGAGUACGGCCGCAAGGCUAAAAAC